UGAUGGAUUACUCAAUGUCAAAGAUGUGAGUCAAGAAGCUGGUUAUGCAAUUACCGGUGUUUGAUCGAAACUUGCUAGAAUAUUUAAUAUGAAGUGGCGUUAGGUGUGUAUAUGUAUCUCAAAGAAAUAAAAUUAAAAGAGACAUCACCUCGUUGUCUCUCUACCUCCUCUUGUCCUCUAGUUUCAUUUCAUAGUAUCAAAGUUUGAUGAUGAGACAUCACCUCGUUGUCUCUCCACCUCCCCCGGUCCUCUCAUGGAUUAGUUUCAUAUUGUAAUAUCAAGUUUCAGAUUAUAAUGACAGUUUCAUAUUCUAAUAUAUUGCAGCAUCUCUUUGUCGAUAA
rnacentral:lncRNA from 1 species